AUUGAACGCUGGCGGCAGGCCUAACACAUGCAAGUCGAACGAGCUGCGGACGGGUGAGUAAUGUCUGGUGAUCUGCCAGAUAGAGGGGGAUAACUGAUGGAAACGGUGGCUAAUCCCGCAUACGAUCAGCUGAGCCAAUAGUGGAUUAGCUAGUUGGUGGGGUAACGUCUCACCGAGGCGCAGAUCUCUAGCUGGUCGGAGAGGAUGAUCAGCCACCCGGGAACUGAUACACGGCCCAGACUCCUACGGGAGGCAGUCGUGGGGAUGAUUGCACAAGGGGCGCAAGCCUGAUGCAGCCAUGCCGAGUGUAUGAAGAAGGCCUUCGGGUUAUAAAGUACUUUCAUCGGGGAGGCGUUACCCGCAGAAGAAGCAACGGCUAACUCCGUGCCAGCCGCCGCGGUAAUAC
rnacentral:rRNA from 1 species